rnacentral:rRNA from 1 species
AUACGGAGGGUGCAAGCGUUAAUCGGAAUUACUGGGCGUAAAGCGUACGUAGGCGGUUAAGUCAGUCAGAUGUGAAAGCCCUGGGCUCAACCUGGGAACUGCAUUUGAUACUGCUUGGCUAGAAUAUGGUAGAGGGAAGUGGAAUUCCGGGUGUAGCGGUGAAAUGCGUAGAUAUCCGGAGGAACACCAGUGGCGAAGGCGGCUUCCUGGACCAAUAUUGACGCUGAGGUACGAAAGCGUGGGUAGCAAACAGGAUUAGAUACCCCAGUAGUCC